rnacentral:tmRNA from 1 species
CCCCUUGAAAAGCCGCAUCCGUCGAUCUAUGUAUUCCUUGUCCUUCGGGACUAUGAACAUAAACGCGCUUGUAAUAAACGGUUCGGACCCGGGGGCGGUACCCGGCGACUCCACCAAACAUCCGUCAUUUGCGGACCAUGGGGUCGAAAUAGGAUCGACGAACGUCUAAAGAAGUUAGCUUUGUUUCGGCUGUCUGCCACCGAUAUCGGCGAAAACUGUACAAUUGCAAAUGACAAUCGUGCUCCAAUGGCGAUGGCCGCGUAAGCGACCGGAACUAUUGAAACUUUAAGCCCUAGCGUUUAGCGACCCUAGGCGGGGUUCGCAGGUACCUGGCAACAGAAACCUGCACU